GAUGAACGCUGGCUACAGGCUUAACACAUGCAAGUCGAGGGGAAACGACGGGGAAGCUUGCUUCCCCGGGCGUCGACCGGCGCACGGGUGAGUAACGCGUAUCCAACCUGCCUCUGACUGAGGGAUAACCCGUCGAAAGUCGGCCUAAUACCUCAUGGCAUCGUCUGCGGGCAUCCAACGACGAUUAAAGAUUUCAUCGGUCAGAGAUGGGGAUGCGUCUGAUUAGCUUGUUGGCGGGGUAACGGCCCACCAAGGCCACGAUGAGUAGGCGAUCGGAGAGGGUGAUAGGCCACACUGGACGGGAGACACGGUCCAGACUCUGAAGGGAGGCAGAAGUAGGGAAUAUUACGAGAGGGGAGAAAGCUGGAUGGAGGAAAGCCGCGUGAGUGAUGAAGGUCGGCGGAGAGUAAAGCUCGGCGAUUAGGGAAGAACAAAUGUGGAAGUAAAUAGGCACGUUUGGACGGGACCGAAUCAGAAAGGCACGGCUAAAUACGUG
rnacentral:rRNA from 1 species